rnacentral:rRNA from 1 species
GAUGAACGCUAGCGGGAGGCCUAACACAUGCAAGCCGAGCGGUAUUGUUUCUUCGGAAAUGAGAGAGCGGCGUACGGGUGCGGAACACGUGUGCAACCUGCCUUUAUCUGGGGGAUAGCCUUUCGAAAGGAAGAUUAAUACUCCAUAAUAUAUUGAACGGCAUCGUUUAAUAUUGAAAGCUCCGGCGGAUAGAGAUGGGCACGCGCAAGAUUAGCUAGUUGGUGAGGUAACGGCUCACCAAGGCGAUGAUCUUUAGGGGGCCUGAGAGGGUGAUCCCCCACACUGGUACUGAGACACGGACCAGACUCCUACGGGAGGCAGCAGUGAGGAAUAUUGGUCAAUGGGUGCAAGCCUGAACCAGCCAUCCCGCGUGAAGGACGACUGCCCUAUGGGUUGUAAACUUCUUUUGUAUAGGGAUAAACCUACCCUCGUGAGGGUAGCUGAAGGUACUAUACGAAUAAGCACCGGCUAACUCCGUGCCAGCAGCCGCGGUAAUACGGAGGGUGCAAGCGUUAUCCGGAUUUAUUGGGUUUAAAGGGUCCGUAGGCGGACUUAUAAGUCAGUGGUGAAAGCCUGUCGCUUAACGAUAGAACUGCCAUUGAUACUGUAAGUCUUGAGUAUAUUUGAGGUAGCUGGAAUAAGUAGUGUAGCGGUGAAAUGCAUAGAUAUUACUUAGAACACCAAUUGCGAAGGCAGGUUACCAAGAUAUAACUGACGCUGAGGGACGAAAGCGUGGGGAGCGAACAGGAUUAGAUACCCUGGUAGUCCACGCCGUAAACGAUGCUAACUCGUUUUUGGGCUUUAGGGUUCAGAGACCAAGCGAAAGUGAUAAGUUAGCCACCUGGGGAGUACGCUCGCAAGAGUGAAACUCAAAGGAACUGACGGGGGCCCGCACAAGCGGUGGAUUAUGUGGUUUAAUUCGAUGAUACGCGAGGAACCUUACCAAGACUUAAAUGGGAAUUGACAGCUUUAGAAAUAGAGCUUUCUUCGGACAAUUUUCAAGGUGCUGCAUGGUUGUCGUCAGCUCGUGCCGUGAGGUGUUAGGUUAAGUCCUGCAACGAGCGCAACCCCUGUCACUAGUUGCCAUCAUUCAGUUGGGGACUCUAGUGAGACUGCCUACGCAAGUAGAGAGGAAGGUGGGGAUGACGUCAAAUCAUCACGGCCCUUACGUCUUGGGCCACACACGUAAUACAAUGGCCGGUACAGAGGGCAGCUACACAGCGAUGUGAUGCAAAUCUCGAAAGCCGGUCUCAGUUCGGAUUGGAGUCUGCAACUCGACUCUAUGAAGCUGGAAUCGCUAGUAAUCGCGCAUCAGCCAUGGCGCGGUGAAUACGUUCCCGGGCCU